rnacentral:miRNA from 1 species
UGCGGAGCUUUUCAAAAAUUC